rnacentral:rRNA from 1 species
UACAGAGGUGCUCAAGCGUUGUUUCGGAUUCAUUGGGGCGUAAAGGGUGCGUAGGUGGCGAUGGUAAGUCGGAUGUGAAAUCCCGAGGCUCAACCUCGGAACUGCCUUUGAUACUGGGGAUCGUCGAGUCCGGGAGAGGGUGAGUGGAAUUCCUAGUGUAGAGGUGAAAUUCGUAGAUAUUAGGAAGAACGAGACCAGCUGGCGAAG